AAGCUAUCGGGCCCAUACCCCGAAAAUGAAGGUCUAACCCCCUCCCUUGCUA
rnacentral:tRNA from 1 species